UACGUAGGGGGCAAGCGUUGUCCGGAAUCAUUGGGCGUAAAGCGCGUGUAGGCGGCUUGGUAAGUCCGUUCUGAAAGCCCGGGGCUCAACCCCGGGAGGCGGAUGGAUACUGUCGAGCUUGAGUCCGGAAGAGGCGAGUGGAAUUCCCGGUGUAGCGGUGAAAUGCGCAGAUAUCGGGAGGAACACCAAUGGCGAAGGCAGCUCGCUGGGACGGUACUGACGCUGAGACGCGAAAGCGUGGGGAGCAAACAGG
rnacentral:rRNA from 1 species